GACGAACGCUGGCGGCGUGCUUAACACAUGCAAGUCGAACGGAUCACCUUUACUUCGGUUUUGGCGGUUAGUGGCGAACGGGUGAGUAACACGUGAGCAACCUGCCCUUCACUGGGGGAUAACUGUGGGAAACUUCAGCUAAUACCGCAUGUACACCUUCUAUCGCAUGGUGGUUGGUGGAAAGUUUUUUCGGUGGGGGAUGGGCUCGCGGCCUAUCAGCUUGUUGGUGGGGUAAUGGCCUACCAAGGCUUUGACGGGUAGCCGGCCUGAGAGGGCGACCGGCCACACUGGGACUGAGAUACGGCCCAGACUCCUACGGGAGGCAGCAGUGGGGAAUAUUGCACAAUGGACGGAAGUCUGAUGCAGCAACGCCGCGUGCGGGAUGACGGCCUUCGGGUUGUAAAGCUCUUUCGGCCGGGAAGAAAUCGCACGGGCUAAUACCCUGUGUGGAUGACGGUACCGGAAUAAGAAGCACCGGCUAACUAC
rnacentral:rRNA from 1 species